rnacentral:rRNA from 1 species
UACGUAGGGUGCAAGCGUUGUCCGGAAUUAUUGGGCGUAAAGAGCUUGUAGGCGGUUUGUCGCGUCUGCUGUGAAAUUUCGGGGCUCAACCCCGAACUUGCAGUGGGUACGGGCAGACUAGAGUGUGGUAGGGGAGACUGGAAUUCCUGGUGUAGCGGUGAAAUGCGCAGAUAUCAGGAGGAACACCGAUGGCGAAGGCAGGUCUCUGGGCCACUACUGACGCUGAAGCGCGAAAGCCAGGGGAGCAAACGGG